rnacentral:lncRNA from 1 species
UUAGAUUCAAAGAAAUCAAACGCGACUCUGAGCUUCGUAUGGUAAGCCGGUGCCCCAAAAGCCGAUUCGAUUGCGUGAAACUCCUCCAAGCUUGUACACCCAAAACUUCCUCCCAAUUCCGGUAAAAAAUUUAGAGAAGGGGACCAGGAAAGGUUCAAUCCACGGGUAUGCAUUUUUGUUCAUGUUAAUUUUUGCACAUUCUCAUUAUAUUUCUUCCUGCAUGUACCUUUUCUCUGGUUAUUUUGACGCCAAUGAACCUCAAGAUUCAGCUUGAUUUGAAAUUUUAACUAAUUAUUUCAUUUACAGUCCUUACCAGAUUUAUCAAUUAAGAGGUUGGUUACUCACCUCUGAUAAUUCUUUUAUUUUUAUUUUUGGGCUGAAUGAUCAAAACUUGGAUUGCAGAUCGUGGAUAGAACUUGCUUCGAAAUUAUUGGCUUGGGUUUCAGUCAAAAGCCGAUUUGAUUGCGUGUUUUGUGGGGGAAUUUUUUGAAAUUCAAUGUCUAAAACUCGUAAAAGGAUAAUUUCCAGGGCUAGCAACGGGGGUGAAGUUUGGAAAUCUUGAAACUGGAACUCGGAGAUAGAGAGACAGGGGAGAGAGAGAAAGGGAAGGUGGGUGGAGAAAAUGUCAAAUUACUAUUUUGCCCUUUUAAAAUUGCGUAAAAUAUGGUCAAAAUCACUUUUUUAGGUCAACUAACGAAAAUUUGGACAGAUUCCAUCCAAAAGGGGCUCAGAUACAAUGUUUGAAAAUGUUUGGAGUAACGACUGCAACAAAUGAAAUGUUAGAGGAAAGUUUACUAAUUUUAAAAGGGUUUGGGCUUCUGCUGCAAAUUUUCCUAAGUUAUACGGCAUUGUAUUUGAGUGAACAUUAUAUUUAAUGAUAUGUAGUAACUACUCGACAUAGGUUGAGAUAUGCUAUUUAAUUGUUGU